GAAAUUUCAUGAUCCGACUGGAAUCCAGGAAAAUCACAGCUGAAAUACAAAACAUCAGCCCUUAUCUCCAGCACUGUACAUGGCAGAAACUGCUUUUAUUCUAGAUGUCUAGAUCCAGAUCAACUGCAUGGGGUCCUACAGGAGAAGACCAAGAGACAGAGACAGAGACCAGGGAAAAUGACCGAUACCAUUCCUUCUCAGGGAUGCUACACACCCAUGGGGCAGAGGAUAAGAGGUUCCUGAAGGCAUCACCCCUCUGGCCAUGGCUGGUGUGCAGACAAAGCUGGAGAUUUGGAGUAGCCUGUUGUCCCACUGACUCUUAGACUGCCCCAGCUAAGAAGAACCAACUCCUCCUAUUACAGAUGAAAUAAACAAAGCUACUCAAGCUCUCUGGCAUCGCCCUGACGGUCAUCAUGUGCUUCACAUUUCCCUCCUGCCCCCCCUGAUUUUCUGGAAAAGGGAGAAACACACCAAAGAGAGUUCUAGAAAAAAUGAGAAUAAGAAAUUUACCUGUAAUCCUUGCUCAAGAAACUGAAGCUCUGAGGCCACAUUGUUCCAGCCUUUUGCAGCUCCUGCAUGUGGAUACCAGCACCAGCAGCUCCCCGACCAGGGGCCCCAGCUAAGCCCUCCCAGAGGAUGAUCUUGGCUUUGUACAUGGGGUGUCAAUAUCCUGUGAGUCCAACAGAGGGAAGACAUAAGAAUAUGGUCACCCAGGUAAGUGGUGGAUAGCUGAGUGACUGUAUUCUUGCUCACCACCACCCCCAUCAGAGGGGGUGUCUUUGUUUCUAGUUGGGGGAAGCUUUGGUAGACUGUCAGUAAUUCCUCCCUGUGUCCCCCAUCCUGUGUCAGGUAACAGACAUUUGUCUUAAUGUAUUCACUGUGUCAUCAGAAGCCACUUCUUAUCCAUCCUUGUGAAUACUUGAUGAAUGAGGAGUCAAUGAUUAAAUGAAGGAAAGAAAAGAGACUGAAAAGGAGGUUUUGUACAGAGGAAAUCCAGGCUCCUAACGAUGGCGAAAGAUGGGAAUAAAAGGAUCAGAACACUGAGCUGGAUCUUCAGUUCAUUUCAGGUAUGGAGAAGGGUAAAUGGUCUUUAAAGAAGGCCGACCUCAAUGAAGGUGUCUUCCAAGGCCUUGUCCACUCAAGGACAUGUUGCAUGCCUGAAACUGAGUAUACAGGAAAAGGAUAGAAAUGGAAUAAAAUGGAAACCCAUAAAUCACACUACCCUGCUAUGCAGUUUCAAACCACUGACUUAAUGAAAUGUUGAUCCACUUUGCCAUGGAUGCCCCACUUUUUAACUCCUUCUUCAGAGUCCCAGGAGGUGAGGCUCUUCUGUUUAACUGAUUUGCAGAAUUUUUGCUUCUGCUAUUACAAUGGCUUCCAUAGUUGAGUACCAAAGACACUUUACUAUGGUGCCACAGAGAUCAUUUUGCAGAUGAGGAAACAGACUGUUCUACUACCCAGGCUUUGGUUUUUUCUACUCAGUCUUGCACAAUCUCUCACUCUCAGCCCAGAACAUUGCUGCAUUUUUGUGAGCCAUCAGCAUCCAAAGUGAACACAGGGUCUAAAUAACUGAAGAUGGCAUGAGGGAACACACAAUCAGGUCUUUAAAAAAAGAAGAAAGUGAAUAGGCAAACUGAACAGGACAUCUAGGACUGAAAAGCCUCUGUGAACAACUGGACUCAAUAUGAAAUUGGCGUGAGCUCACAGAAGACCAGCUGAGUUCCAGAUGUGGUUGGGUAGCUUGGGUUAUGGGCCCGUAUAAAAAAAAUGGUCUCUUCUUGUAAAAGGAAUUCAAAAAAAGACUAAAAGUCACCCCAAAGAGUCACUGUCUUUGUCUUUUGGCCAUUAGUAAGUCAGAAGAGACCUCUAGAGGAGACUGGAUUUUGUGGCUGAUUAUCGAUUAAUUGAUCAUCACUGGGUAUCUUUGGGAGUGUUGCCUUCUCAGGGAGAAGCUGAAAAUCAUUCUGUGAAAGGUAUGUCCACUGACAAUCAUUUAAGCUCUUUGGAGGCAAGAAAUCAGGUAUCUGGGAGAACUCAGAGAUAACAUAGGAGCGACAGGCUGAAACCAUGAGCGAGAUGGGCAGAUGGCUUGAGAAUGACGAUGGGCAGAGGAGAGCAGUGGCAGGGAGAACCCACAGGCCUCUACUUGGAGUCAGCCUGUCAGCAGGAUAAGCUACAAGAUCACCCUCGAGGGAAACUGCAGGCCAGGUCAGGGGCACUGCAAGCUGCAGGUGUGCCCAGGCAGGAGGGCAGGUGGCCUGUGAUGAGGGGCCAUGACUGUGUGGUGGGCUCUCCCACACCAGGAGCAACUAGACACUAGACUGAAAGUUCUUUUAAGUGAGGGAGCCAUCUUCUGUCCAGGGAAAAGUGGUUCGGGAUACAGGAGGAGCCCUGCACCACAGAAUCGGUCUAGUCUCAGGCUGUCUGUUCCACAGGAGCCUCCAGCCCAGUGAUGUAGGCAGCUAUUCACAACCACAUCAUGGCACAAAGUGAGGCCUCCCAAUCCACAGCCAUCCCUGAUUACAGACACUUCACUGGAUGUCUGAACAUAGCUGUGUGUGCCUGGAAAGCCUAGAAAUAGAAACGCUCCUUUUUUCCCCAAGACGAUCAUCUCUACAUCCUGACCUGGAUCAACAGUGAUCCAUUCUGGACAAUCCUGGACACUCCUGCUCCUGGAGAGAAGGGAUAGAUAACUUUUCCACCUGCCUGCCUGUCCUGUCCACCUCGAGGUGGUCUUGUGGCAUCUUGGGCCUCACAUGUCCCAUAGUCUCUUCUCAUCCCUCCAAUUUGCUCCUUCUCCAGACUUCUCUCUCUUGGUUGAGUGGUUCCACCAUUUUCCCAAGUUGCUUGGACCCAACACUUGAGUUACAGCCAACUCCUCUCUUUCUCUCACAACCCAAAUCUAAUUCAUCAGUAAGUCCUGGUGGCUCCACAUUCGGAAUGUUCCUGGGAUGCCACCACUUUUUGUCAUCUCUGUUACUGCUAGCCUGCCCCUUGCUACUGUCAGCUCCAGCCUGGAGGACUGAAAUAACCUCCUCACUGUCUCCAGCUGUUCUUCCCGCCCAUGGUCUAUUCCCCAGACACCACCAGAGGGAUGCUUUGAAGUCCAGAUGGCAUCAUGUCAUUUAGAAUGAAACCUGAGGUCCCAAGUGUGGCCCGAGGGAUGGUCAGGUUGCCCCCAGGGCUCCAUUUCCUGCCACUCUUCCUCUCUCUCACUCUGCUGGAGCCACAUGGUUACUAUUCCUGAACACAGGAGGCUCCCUCCUGCUUCAGGUCUCGUGCAGAUUUGUUCCCACAGCCUGGGGACAGAUUUUAUCCCAGAAGUUCCCAGGGCUUGAUUCCUCCCUUUAUUUAGUUCUCAGCUGAAAUGUCCCCUCUUCUGAGCAGCCUUCUCUCACCACCCGAUGGAAGCAGCCGUCCCUGCACGCUCUAUCACUUCACUCGGCUCUAUUUUUCUUCCUAACACGUUCACAACUUGACAUUCUUUUAUAAUUUUUCACUUAUUUAUUGAGUGCUGUCUCUUCCACUAGAACCCCUGAAAGCAGGGAUUUUUAUAAUCUUUUGGCCACCACUAGAUUCAUAAGGAUGCACAGAGCCUGGUAGGCUGCAGGCUGUCCAUAACUGCUUGUUGAAUGAAUCGAUGGAUGAAUGAUCAGCAGAAGCUCGUUUCUCUCCAUGAAAUACAACGGGUUCCAAAGAAAUCGAAGCCUUUUUGAAAGGCCUAGCCAUACUUCACCCAUACAGCUGCAGUGGCAGAUCCAUGCUCAUGACCUCAUUUCUCUCC
rnacentral:lncRNA from 1 species